rnacentral:rRNA from 1 species
GUAUAGUACCGUGAGGGAAAGGUGAAAAGAACCCCGGGAGGGGAGUGAAAUAGAACCUGAAACCCUGCACUUACAAGCUGUGGAAGCACAUUUCUUGUGUGACCGCGUACUUUUUGUAGAACGGGCCAACGAGUUACGUUAAGUAGCAAGGUUAAGCACUUAAGGUGCGGAGCCGUAGCGAAAGCGAGUUUUAACUGAGCGUUCAGUUACUUGACGUAGACCCGAAACCGGGCGACCUACCCAUGAGCAGGAUGAAGCGAAAGUAAAAUUUCGUGGAGGUCCGAACCCACGAGCGUUGAAAAGCUCGGGGAUGACUUGUGGGUAGCGGUGAAAUUCCAAUCGAGCCCGGAGAUAGCUGGUUCUCCCCGAAAUAGCUUUAGGGCUAGCCUCAAGGUGAGAGAUACGGAGGUAGAGCACUGAAUGUCCUAGGGGGUAUUGCACCUACCGAAGACUAUCAAACUCCGAAUGCCGUCAUCUUAUACUUGGGAGUCAGACUGUGGGUGAUAAGAUUCAUAGUCGAAAGGGCAACAGCCCAGAUCGUCAGCUAAGGUCCCUAAAUGUAAGUUAAGUGGUAAAGGAUGUGGGAUUGCACAGACAACCAGGAUGUUGGCUUAGAAGCAGCCACUCAUUCAAAGAGUGCGUAAUAGCUCACUGGUCGAGUGAUCCUGCGCCGAAGAUUUCCGGGGCUAAAACUUACUACCGAAGCUACGGCAUCAGUAAUGAUGGGUAGGGGAGCUUCCCAUACGGGUUGAAGCAUGACCGUAAGGACAUGUGGACAGUAUGGGAGUGAGAAUGUUGGCAUGAGUAGCGAGAUGUGGGUGAGAAUCCCACAGGCCGUAAACCCAAGGUUUCCAGGGGAAGGUUCGUCCGCCCUGGGUUAGUCGGGACCUAAGCUGAGGCCGAAAGGCGUAGGUGAUGGACAACAGGUUGAUAUUCCUGUACUACCGAUAACCGUUUGAGAGAAGGGAUGACACAGUAGGAUAAGCUAAGCACACUGUUGGUUAUGUGUGCCCAAGCAUUGAGGCAGUCAAAGUAGGCAAAUCCGCUUUGAUAAUGCUGGGAUGUGAUGGGGAGCGAAAUUUAGUAGCGAAGUAGCUGAUUUCACACUGUCAAGAAAAGUCUCUAUCGAGGUUAAAGGUACCCGUACCGCAAACCGACACAGGUGGGUGAGGAGAGUAUCCUAAGGCCAGCGAGAGAACUGUUGUUAAGGAACUCGGCAAAAUGACCCCGUAACUUAGGGAUAAGGGGUGCCACCAUCAGGUGGCCGCAGAGAAUAGGCCCAAGCGACUGUUUACCAAAAACAUAGGUUUCUGCUAAGUCGCAAGACGAUGUAUAGGAGCUGACGCCUGCCCGGUGCUGGAAGGUUAAGGGGAUCUGUUAGAGCAAUCGAAGCAGUGAACUUAAGCCCCAGUAAACGGCGGCCGUAACUAUAACGGUCCUAAGGUAGCGAAAUUCCUUGUCGGGUAAGUUCCGACCCGCACGAAAGGCGUAACGAUUUGGGCACUGUCUCAACAACAGACUCGGUGAAAUUGUAAUUCCGGUGAAGAUGCCGGAUACCUGCGACAGGACGGAAAGACCCCAUGGAGCUUUACUGUAGCUUGACAUUGGGUCUUGGUACUACAUGUACAGGAUAGGUGGGAGGCUUUGAAACCAGGACGCCAGUUUUGGCGGAGCCAUCCUUGGGAUACCACCCUUGUAGUACUGGGACUCUAACCAUAGGCCAUGAAUCUGGUCUUGGGACACUGUCA